rnacentral:misc_RNA from 1 species
GAUGAAGAACGUAGCGAAAUGCGAUACGUAAUGUGAAUUGCAGAAUUCAGUGAAUCAUCGAGUCUUUGAACGCACAUUGCGCCCCCUGGUAUUCCGGGGGGCAUGCCUGUCCGAGCGUCAUUGCUGCCCUCAAGCACGGCUUGUGUGUUGGGCCUCCGUCCUCCUCCCGGGGGACGGGCCCGAAAGGCAGCGGCGGCACCGCGUCCGGUCCUCGAGCGUAUGGGGCUUCGUCACCCGCUCUUGUAGGCCCGGCCGGCGCUUGCCGACACAUCAAUCUUUUUUCCAGGUUGACCUCGGAUCAGAUAGGGAUACCCGCUGAACUUAAGCAUAUCAAUAAGCGGAGA